rnacentral:tRNA from 1 species
GCGAAUAUGGUGUAAUGGCAACACGUCUGCUUCCCAAGCAGGAAAUGCGGGUUCGAUUCCCGUUAUUCGCU